rnacentral:rRNA from 1 species
AAUGAACGCUAGCGACAUGCUUAACACAUGCAAGUCGAAUGAAGUUUCUACUUCAUGGCAAACGGGUGCGUAAUACACAAGAAUCUGCCUUCUAGUCUAUGCAAACUUUUUAUAGGUGAAUCAUAGAUAUUAAAAGAUUUUUUCGCUAGAAGAUGAGCUUGUGGAGGAUUAGGUAGUUGGCGGGGUAAAAACCCACCAAGCCGAUGAUCCUUAGCUGGUCUGAGAGGACGAUCAGCCACAUUGGGACUGAGAUACGGCCCAAACUCCGAUUGGAGGCAGCAGUGGGGAAUUUUGGACAAUGGGCGCAAGCCUGAUCCAGCAAUGUCGCGUGAGUGAUGAAGGCUCAUUGGCUGUAAAACUCUUUCAAUAGGGAUGAUAAUGACCGUACCUAUAGAAGAAGCCCCGGCUAAUUCCGUG